AGUAUUGUGGAGUGAGGUAGACAGUAUUGUGGAGUGAGGUAGACAGUAUUGUGGAGUGAGGUAUAAAGUAUUGUGGAGUGAGGUAUGGAGUAUUGUGGAGUGAGGUAGACAGUAUUGUGGAGUGAGGUAGACAGUAUUGUGAGGUAGAAAGUAUUGUGGAGUGAGGUAGACAGUAUUGUGAGGUAGACAGUAUUGUGGAGUGAGGUGGACAGUAUUGUGAGGUUACAAACGUGUAAUUCUGUGCGUCUGUGUGUCGUCGUGCCGUGCGUGUGUGCGUGUGUGUUGUGUUGUGUUGUGUUGUGUUGUGUUGUGUGUUGUGUUGUG